GGGGGUGUAGCUCAGUGGUAGAGCGCUCGCUUUGCAUGCG
rnacentral:tRNA from 1 species